AUUUACCAACAUAACAUCCUGGUUGUAUCCAAACUGAUAUCAAAAGCUAAGCAGGAUCAUCCUUGAUCAUUACUUGGAUGGUAGACCAAAAGUGAAUAUCAAGGUUUUCUAGAUA
rnacentral:rRNA from 1 species